AAUAUCCUGAGAUGUGCGUUAAGGCUAUUUAAUUUAUCCAACAUUAUGACGCACGGGAACCCGGGUUUUCGUAUUCGAUGCAAGGCCGCGCCAAUUGCCGCGGAAGGCGGGGAUACGGGACAGGACAACCACUUUCGGGGAUAAGCUGUGUGAAUUAGUAGUCUGACGGCAUUUUGGGAGUUUU
rnacentral:other from 1 species